rnacentral:sRNA from 1 species
GCCAGGUGUGGUGGCACAUGCCUGUCAUCCCAGCAGCUCUGGAGGCUGAGGCAGGAGGAUCAUGAGUUCAAAGCCAGCCUGAGCAAAAGUGAGGUGCUAAGCAACUUAGUGAGAACCUGUCUCUA